UACGUAGGGGGCAAGCGUUGUCCGGAAUCCUUGGGCGUAAAGAGCGUGUAGGCGGCCAGAUAAGUCCGCUGUGAAAUCUCGAGGCUCAACUUCGAGCUGUCGGUGGAAACUGUCUGGCUAGAGUCCGGAAGAGGAGAAUGGAAUUCCUGGUGUAGCGGUGAAAUGCGCAGAUAUCAGGAAGAACACCCGUGGCGAAGGCGGUUCUCUGGGACGGUACUGACGCUGAGACGCGAAAGCGUGGGGAGCGAACAGG
rnacentral:rRNA from 1 species